UACGUAGGGUGCAAGCGUUGUCCGGAUUUAUUGGGCGUAAAGAGCUCGUAGGCGGUUUGUCGCGUCGGAUGUGAAAACCCAGGGCUCAACCCUGGGCCUGCAUUCGAUACGGGCAGACUAGAGUAUGGCAGGGGAGACUGGAAUUCCUGGUGUAGCGGUGAAAUGCGCAGAUAUCAGGAGGAAUCCCGGUGGUGUAGCCGGCUCUCUGGACCGCCACUGACGCUGAGACACGAAAGCGUGGGGAGCAAACAGG
rnacentral:rRNA from 1 species